UCAGUGUUUGUUCAUUUCCCGUGGCGCUCCAUUUUGGUUCGUGGGUCCGGGUAUAAGGAUUUUGUUCGAGCUGUGGGAGAGAGAGAGAGCCUCGCAAGUGUGGGAACGCCCCACUUAAGGAUUAUUGCCUUCUGCCACAUGGACUUGAACUCAUUUACCGCUAUCCUUUCCUGCUGGAUUGGACUGGAAGUCGAAGGGCUACCAAGUACUAACCCCAGAGGGAAUCUACCCGACCCAUUAGAGGCAAGAUCCACCCGCAGGAGGGCCGUUCAACUGGACUACCUUUCCCUGUCAGCGAGGGACUCCCUGCCGUCCUCCCCUAAGGCUUUACAUUAGCCGCAGGGUAGAAGGUCACAGGCAUCAAUCGCCGCCUGCCUCUGACACUAUUGGACAAAUAUGAUCCAUAAUGAAAAGAAGGAAUUGAAGAAGCUGCUGGGGCUCUGAAUAUCAUAGAAAGAAGUGGCAGAUUAACAAGAUCGUCUGCUCCUACCACACCUCUCUCUGCAGGGGCAGGAUUGUCACAGUUUCCAUAUGAGGGUCAUACGUCUCCUGCAUGAUGAAAAGGGCUGUUUUGCAGCUGGUACAAAUGAAAAGAACAUAAGAACAGCCAUACUGGGUCAGACCAAAAGUACAUCUAGCCCAGUAACUGUCUCCCAACAGUGACCAAUGCCAGAGGAGAAGUGAACAGAACAGGAAGCAGAAGCAGGAUUUGCCCCCAUGUGAUCCAGAAAACCAUUUCCAACUCCUUCCUCUGUGAUCUUUUGAAGAGAGAACAAAACAAGACCAUAUGUCACACUGCCAUUAAGGACAGACUUGUUUCACUGUAGCAAAUUCAAAGGAAGAGAACAUUUAUACACUAAAAUGUUUAUUUAGCCAAUGAUUUUUAAUUCCUUAUGUUUAUAAUAUCACGUGUGUCUCAUAAAUGUUUUCUUGGCCUUACUGUAGUUUCAUAAAACAAUUGCAGUGUUGCAUACACAUGAUGGCUUCCGUUCAAGAUGAAGUAAGAAAAGUUGAGCUGCUGAGAGGAGCUAGUGAACUUGGUAUUGUAAACAGAAAUAUUUGUAAAGGUUUACAGUUAAUAGCUCUGUUAAUAGCUCUGUUUCUGAUGUGUUCAAGUGUCCCCCAGUGAGAAACUUCUUGUUUAAGGAUCAUUGUAUUGCCUAUUGCCUUUGUCUCAUGCACAAACUCCAACUAAUAUCAUUCAAAGAUGCACAUCCAGACUGUAUAUGGCUCUCAACAGCAAAUGAAGUAGGCAAAAGAAGGAAGAUCUGAAAUAUAACUAAAGUUUGCUUUAAGAUGGACUUUACGUCACACUGUGCCUACUGUGAGUCAAAUUUUCAUAGACUGGUGCUCAAGUCACAUGUAAAACCUGUACGUGUACAUUAUGCAAGUGAAGGGCUUGAUUAGCCUCUUAUGCCUGAUUUACACUGAGGUAAGUCCAAAAAAAUCCACAUUUACAUUUAUGUAAAAAUGGUGUUAAGUGGGACCUAGUUUUAUAUUUAUAUAUACCAUCCAAUACUUUGUGUGCAGAAUGGAUAUGCUGAAGCACAAUAGCCUAUUUUACCCCUGCAAAAAUGUGUUUCAAAUGCAGCUUUUGCUUAUGCAGCUGGUGCACAUGCAAAUUUUGUAGGUGCCACCUUUAGGAAGCUUUGAAAGCUUGCCUCUAUUUGUACAGAAAAAAUUGCUAAAUGUUGAAGUUGGCGGAUGUGAUGGAACACUAAAGUAAACUGGCCUGUGCUAACAUCUCCUUUAAAUUGUGAACAGUAUGAUUAUCUUCAGUUAUAUUAAAUAUUACCCAAAAUAGGUCAGGGAGCCUACAGCACAUUUUGCAGUUAAGACACUGAUUGGAAUGACUUGCCUUCAGAUAUUCAGAAAGAAAUUGCUUUUUUUUCUAUUCUGAAGCAGUGUCAGUUAAAAUGGCAGCACCUUUUCAUAAGGUGGUAAUAAUUACACUACUAGUUUGUUUGUUUUUGUAUGUUUAAUGCAAGAGUAGGAAACCUGCAAAUCUGACACCCGCCUUAUUUUGAUCCAGCCCACAGCAAGGCUCGGAGAUUCACCCCACAGCAAGACUCUAAGCCCUCAGUGCCCUCAAGGCUGGCGUGUAAGUACCAGCACACUCUGCUGCUGAGCGCCUGAUCCAGCUCCUAUGAAUGAGGUCACUGCCAGUAGUUUUCAUUGAGACUGAUUGGCAUUUCAUCACAUAGUGCCUUACAGAUGUGAAAGACUGCACAAAUAUUGGCAUCUCCACAAUGGACCUCUGACGCAGAUAAGUAAUUCUUACCUUUGUUUCUCAGAUAAGGAAACUGAGGCAGGAGGGUGCUGUGACUUGCUCCAGACAGCACAUACAUGACAGAUAUGAAUUAACAGGGAUGGGCAACAACUCAAUUUUUAAAAUUUGAUAAAAGUCUGAGUUGGAAGGGGGGGACUAUAAAUGGUUAGCUUAUUCAACUGAGGUCAGAUCUGAGGAGGUAGGGUCCAACCACAUUACCUUCCAGUGGACCAUUCUAGUACUUUUUUUUUUUUCCAAAGUAGCGACAACAUGUUCUGAGCCCUUCUCAAGAUCUACAAAACUACUACAUAUUCAUGGAAGGAUCGUUCUGUUUAUUUGAUGUGGUGCAAUUUUUGUUAGUAUUCUUGGACUUCUUACUGUUACUAUGUAGCCCAAGGAUAUUCGCUAAUACAGGCAGUCCCCGAGUUAUGCGGAUCCGACGUAAGUCGGAUCCGCAGUUACGAACGGGGUUUGCUGC